rnacentral:lncRNA from 1 species
GAUAGAGCAUAUAUUUAUAUAUGCUUUUAUAUGAUUUUAUUCCCAUAAUUCUAGUAUUUUGUAAAUAAUCGGGUAAUUACUAAUUGAUUUUUAAGUGUUUAAUGGCAGGAAAAUAAAUAUUCCUACGUUGGAUGAAACUAGCUUAUUUGGGCUUUUAUUUGAUGGAAAUUCAGACUUUAUGGGCUACUUGCGCAGCAAAUCUUGUUUGGGCCAUAACUUGAGCUCUGAACGUCAGAAUUGGGCGAUUCAACAGCCCACGCGAAGAUAUCGGCAUUUUCUACAAGUCCCAAGUGGUCCAGCAGUCAAAAUCCAACUAGAGCAGCCCAGAAUCAGGCCUGAAAGUCAGCCUGCGAAUUUCUUUUCAGAAUCCGAAUUGUUUUAGGAAAUUGAAUUUGUUUUUCAAGAAAACCAUUAGAAACACCAUUAUUAUUAGGGUUUUGUAUUAUUAGAAACAUAUUGAGUAUUGUGUGUAUUGAGAGAGAGAGGUAGAGAAAGCUUUGGGAGAUAACUUGAGCAAAGAUUGAAGGGAUUCAGUCCAAGUUCGAGAGAUUUCGUCAAGUUGUAUUUUCUUCACUCUUGUACUCUUUUGACAUGAUUUCAGUAAUAUAUAUAUUCG